UACGGAGGGUGCAAGCGUUGUUCGGAUUUACUGGGCGUAAAGGGCGCGUAGGCGGCCGAUCAAGUCGGGGGUGAAAGCCUGUGGCUCAACCACAGAAUUGCCUUCGAUACUGUUUGGCUUGAGACCGGAAGAGGUUAGUGGAACUGCGAGUGUAGAGGUGAAAUUCGUAGAUAUCAAGAGGAACACCUGAGGUGAAGACGGGUUGCUGGGCUGAUACUGACGCUGAGGCGCGAAAGCUAGGGUAGCAAACGGG
rnacentral:rRNA from 1 species